GUUCACUGCCUUACAGGCAGCUUAGAAA
rnacentral:other from 1 species